UGAACAGUCAUUGCCAUACAUUUCCUCU
rnacentral:piRNA from 1 species